rnacentral:rRNA from 1 species
AUUGAACGCUGGCGGCAGGCCUAACACAUGCAAGUCGAACGAGUGGCGGACGGGUGAGUAAUGUCUGGGAAACUGCCCGAUGGAGGGGGAUAACUACUGGCAACGGUAGCUAAUACCGCAUACCAUCGGAUGUGCCUAGAUUGGAUUAGCUAGUAGGUGGGGUAACGGCUCACCUAGGCGACGAUCCCUAGCUGGUCUGAGAGGAGGACCAGCCACACUGGAACUGAGACACGGUCCAGCCUCCGACGUGAGUCAGCGGUGGGAAAUAUUGCACAAUGGGCGCAAGCCGGAUGCAGCCAUGCCGCGUGUAUGAAGAGGGCCGUCGGGUUGUAAAGUACUUUCAGCGAGGGGGCGUUACUCGCAGAAGAAGCACCGGCUAACUCCGUGCCAGCAGCCGCGGUAAUAC